CAAUGAAGACAUUGAGGCCAAGAAAGGUAGGACGUCCACGGCCCUCAUGCUGCCCAGGAACAGCCCUGGGGAUUCCCCUGGCCCCCAGCUCCAUGCAGCCUGUGUGGCCAGGUUCCUUGUGAGACACCUGGGGGACUCCAAACAGCAGGAAUCCACCUGCCCACUGGUUUGGAGACAGGAGUCCUCAGCCUCCUUCCAGGGUGGAUGGUUCAGGAGGCCUUCUCUGCAGGGGACCAGGACACAGGAAAGCCAGGAAGAGAUGAGUUGGGAAGGGAGGUGUCGGGGGCCAUUUUGGUUUUAAAAAUAAAGCAGGACUUUUGUUGCUUGUUAUAAAAGGAA